rnacentral:lncRNA from 1 species
CUUCUCAAUUGAUCAGCUGUGUCGGCCGUGUGUGCGCGUUUUGUGCCUGUAGGCUCACUGUGUUCUCGCCGCUGGAUCUAAUAAAAUGCGUGAUUUGACGACAGUGCCACAUGCCGCACUGCGAGUGGGAUAAUCGCGACGGCCCGUCGACUCAAGCGAGCGUGCCGCUGUGUAUUACCAGGCAGAUGAUGGGCACCCUGCGUGCUCGGCACAGACAGAAAGAAAAAUGCAUCUACCUUGGAUACUGUGAACUACCCUGAACAUCCUUCUGCCGCCAUGCAACUGUGAGAACCCACCAAAGCACAGAUUAUCAGCAAGUGAAAGGAUUUUUGGGCAACAAGUUGAAUUGCGCACUCUGCCCGUCUCCUGAAAUACCGUAUUAAGGUACACAUGCGCUGUACCUUGAUACAUAUGUAUCAAGGUACAGUAAAAUAGAAUAUCUAGGCACAUAAACGUCAUUAUAUGGAUUCAUUUAGCGAAAAACAAUAAAUCACGUUAAGGCGAUAUAAUGAAGGCCAUAUUAUGUGAUACACAUCUGCUAAGUGACAGUGUGUAUUGUUAAGCGCAUGUAUUUUAUGGUAUUGAAUGAAUGAACGUUUACCCCAGCAAAAUUCAAGAAAUGCACCUCGAGCAAAAAGCUACAAUGGUAGCUUGAGAAGUGCAUGAGGUACUGUGGAGCCAAAAA